rnacentral:rRNA from 1 species
UACGAAGGGUGCAAGCGUUACUCGGAUUUACUGGGCGUAAAGGGCGCGCAGGCGGCUCAUUUUGUCAGGCGUGAAAGCCCCGGGCUUAACCUGGGAACUGCGUUUGAUACGGAUGGGCUAGAGUUCGGGAGAGGAGAGUGGAAUUCCCAGUGUAGAGGUGAAAUUCGUAGAUAUUGGGAAGAACACCGGUGGCGAAGGCGGCUCUCUGGACCGAUACUGACGCUGAGGCGGCGAAAGCGUGGGGAGCAAACAGG